UCCAAGUCAGAGUUGGAAGAAAUUGGCUUAUCAUUAGGCAACUACUAGAUCGGACAAAUGAAGGGAAGAGUGGCGAUCGGGGAUUCGUACACAAACAAACUCGAAUCACCGGAGUUCGUUCGAAUCACCGGAGAGUUGGAGAACAAGCAAGCAAACCAAGGAUGUCGGACGAGAGCGCAAUACCUCUUAAAUAUCUGUGCCCUUUUUGACCCUUAUUCCCGGGCUAAGAACAAAGAUGUUUAUUUCUCAAACCUUCGCUGAGGCAGAUGUCCGAUUCACGACUAUCUGGCGGAUACCUGAUGUAAACACUCUCAGCGAUUUAUUAUUAUUGUGGACGAAGUUCGUGAACUGAUCGAAAUACCAUCCAUACUGAUGCU
rnacentral:lncRNA from 1 species